GGGGGUGACAUUGGUUUCGACGGGGUUACAAAGGCAAUAAACUGCGUAUCGUGAUCUCCGAAGUCACGUAAAACAUCGGAAACAAAAAUAACUGGCGAAAAUAAUUACGCUUUAGCUGCGUAAACUAACGCAGCCGUUCUCUAUUUCUUCUCGCAUCGGGAUUUAGAAGAACGUCGAUAGAUGCGAUAGCCGAAUCGAGUGUCUGAGUAGAAGAGGCGAAACCUUAAUCGGGCUGGCUGACAUAAAUCCUGUUUAUUGGAGUUAUGUUGGUGAGACUUAAAAAAUAAACUAUGUACGUAGAUGUUUGUUGUACUGUUUCUUCGGACGCGGGUUCGACUCCCGCCACCUCCACUA
rnacentral:tmRNA from 1 species